UACGUAGGAUGCAAGCGUUGUCCGGAUUUAUUGGGUUUAAAGGGUGCGUAGGCGGCCUGUUAAGUUAGUGGUGAAAACGUUCGGCUUAACCGGAUACCCGCCAUUGAUACUGAUAGACUUGAGUGCGACAGAGGGUGUUGGGAUGCGUGGUGUAGCGGUGAAAUGCUUAGAUAUCACGCAGAACACCAAUUGCGAAGGCAGAUGCCUAUGUCGUAACUGACGCUGAGGAACGAAAGCGUGGGGAGCAAACAGG
rnacentral:rRNA from 1 species